AGAAAUACGUCUGACGAAAGAGUUACUUUGAUAGAGUAAAUAAUAGGGGUUUAAAUCCCCUUAUUUCUA
rnacentral:tRNA from 6 species